rnacentral:rRNA from 1 species
CGUUAAUCGGAAUUACUGGGCGUAAAGCGCGCGUAGGCGGCUUUGCAAGUCUGGUGUGAAAUCCCCAGGCUUAACCUGGGAACUGCAUUCGAGACUGCAUUGCUAGAGUAUGGGAGAGGGAAGUGGAAUUUCCGGUGUAGCGGUGAAAUGCGUAGAUAUCGGAAGGAACAUCAGUGGCGAAAGCGACUUCCUGGACCAAUACUGACGCUCAUGUGCGAAAGCGUGGGGAGCAAACAGG